GAAAUGGCAGAGCCCACCCGCCUCAGCCUUCUCCUCUCAACCUCAGGAUACCCUGUGCAGCCUGGCUCUCGACAACCCCCCCCCCCACCCUCCUCCUGCGCAGGGGCGCCUGCAGCGCCUGCUCAGCACCCCUCAAGGUAAGGACUGUUGCCUGCAUGGAAGCUGUCUCUGGCCUUUGGAUCUGGGGGUGCAGGGGCUUUGCUGCCAUUUCCUUCUUCCCUUAAAAAUCUGAUUCACCUGAUUAAUAUGGUGAAGAACGUGUUUAUGGAUUACACGUCUUGCAGGUAUUGCAAAUGUUGACCCCUCUCCCCUAAACAGGAAGGGCUAAUGUUGUCUCUUAGCUUCAGAAGCGCCGAGCACCUUGGAGGCCUUGUGGCCCUGGGGGGCACCGCCGGGGGGACUGCUCUUUUCUGUUUGCUCUUGUAGCUCAGCCUGGCCCCCCACCCCAGUCAACCCUCCAGGGCAGGAGUCUUAUCUUGGACGAUGGCGGUCCCUCCACUCCCCGGCAGCUUCCAGG
rnacentral:lncRNA from 1 species